rnacentral:rRNA from 1 species
GACGAACGCUGGCGGCGUGCUUAACACAUGCAAGUCGAACGGAAAGGCUCCAGCUUGCUGGAGUACUCGAGUGGCGAACGGGUGAGUAACACGUGGGUGACCUGCCCUGCACUUCGGGAUAAGCCUGGGAAACUGGGUCUAAUACCGGAUAGGACCGCACUUUGGUGUGUGUGGUGGAAAGGUUUUUCUGGUGUGGGAUGAGCUCGCGGCCUAUCAGUUUGUUGGUGGGGUAAUGGCCUACCAAGACGGCGACGGGUAGCCGGCCUGGGAGGGUGGACGGUCACAUUGGGACUGGGAUACGGCCCAGACUCCUACGGGAGGCAGCAGGGGGGAAUAUUGCACAAUGGGGGAAACCCUGAUGCAGCGACGCCGCGUGGGGGAUGAAGGCCUUCGGGUUGUAAACUCCUUUCGCUAGGGACGAAGCUUUUUGUGACGGUACCUGGAGAAGAAGCACCGGCUAACUACGUG